rnacentral:rRNA from 1 species
AGUGAACGCUGGCGGUAGGCCUAACACAUGCAAGUCGAACGGCAGCACAGUAAGAGCUUGCUCUUACGGGUGGCGAGUGGCGGACGGGUGAGGAAUACAUCGGAAUCUACUUUUUCGUGGGGGAUAACGUAGGGAAACUUACGCUAAUACCGCAUACGACCUACGGGUGAAAGCAGGGGAUCUUCGGCCCUUGCGCGUUUGACUGAGCCGAUGUCGGAUUAGCUAGUUGGCGGGGUAAAGGCCCACCAAGGCGACGAUCCGUAGCUGGUCUGAGAGGAUGAUCAGCCACACUGGAACUGAGACACGGUCCAGACUCCUAUGGGAGGCAGCAGUGGGGAAUAUUGGACAAUGGGCGCAAGCCUGAUCCAGCCAUACCGCGUGGGUGAAGAAGGCCUUCGGGUUGUAAAGCCCUUUUGUUGGGAAAGAAAAGCAGCAGGUUAAUACCCCGCUGUUCUGACGGUACCCAAAGAAUAAGCACCGGCUAACUUCGUG